GACGAACGCUGGCGGCGUGCUUAACACAUGCCAGUCGUGCGGUAAGGCCCUUUCGGGGGUACACGAGCGGCGAACGGGUGAGUAACACGUGAGCAACCUGCCCUUCACUUUGGGAUAACUGCCGGAAACGGUGGCUAAUACCGGAUAUGACUUCCUCACGCAUGUGGAGUGGUGGAAAGCCUUCGGGUGGUGGGGGAUGGGCUCGCGGUCUAUCAGCUUGUUGGUGGGGUGAUGGCCUACCAAGGCUUCGACGGGUAGCCGGCCUGAGAGGGUGACCGGCCACAAGGGGACUGAGACACGGCCCAGACUCCUACGGGAGGCAGCAGUGGGGAAUAUGGGACAAUGGGCGAAAGCCUGAUCCAGCAACGCCGCGUGGGGGAUGACGGCCUUCGGGUUGUAAACCUCUUUCGCCUGCGACGAAGCGAGAGUGACGGUAGCAUGUAAAGAAGCACCGGCCAACUACGUG
rnacentral:rRNA from 1 species